rnacentral:rRNA from 1 species
UACGUAGGGUGCAAGCGUUGUCCGGAAUUAUUGGGCGUAAAGAGCCCGUAGGCGGUUCGUCGCGUCGGCUGUGAAACCCCGGAGCUCAACUCCGGGCCUGCAGUCGAUACGGGCGGGCUUGAGUGUUGCAGGGGAGACUGGAAUUCCUGGUGUAGCGGUGAAAUGCGCAGAUAUCAGGAGGAACACCGGUGGCGAAGGCGGGUCUCUGGGACGGUACUGACGCUGAGACGCGAAAGCGUGGGGAGCGAACAGG